rnacentral:rRNA from 1 species
CCUACGGGUGGCUGCAGUGGGGAAUAUUGGACAAUGGGCGAAAGCCUGAUCCAGCCAUGCCGCGUGUGUGAAGAAGGCCUUCGGGUUGUAAAGCACUUUCAGUGGGGAAGAAAGCCUUGGGGCUAAUACCCUCGAGGAAGGACAUCACCCACAGAAGAAGCACCGGCUAACUCCGUGCCAGCAGCCGCGGUAAUACGGAGGGUGCGAGCGUUAAUCGGAAUUACUGGGCGUAAAGCGCUCGUAGGCGGUCUGAUAAGCCGGUUGUGAAAGCCCCGGGCUCAACCUGGGAACGGCAUCCGGAACUGUCAGGCUAGAGUGCAGGAGAGGAAGGUAGAAUUCCCGGUGUAGCGGUGAAAUGCGUAGAGAUCGGGAGGAAUACCAGUGGCGAAGGCGGCCUUCUGGACUGACACUGACGCUGAGGUGCGAAAGCGUGGGUAGCAAACAGGAUUAGAUACCCCAGUAGUC